rnacentral:rRNA from 1 species
UGGGGAAUAUUGCACAAUGGGGGAAACCCUGAUGCAGCAACGCCGCGUGAGUGAAGAAGUAUUUCGGUAUGUAAAGCUCUAUCAGCAGGGAAGAAAAUGACGGUACCUGACUAAGAAGCCCCGGCUAACUACGUGCCAGCAGCCGCGGUAAUACGUAGGGGGCAAGCGUUAUCCGGAUUUACUGGGUGUAAAGGGAGCGUAGACGGCGAGACAAGUCUGAAGUGAAAGCCCGGGGCUCAACCCCGGGACUGCUUUGGAAACUGCCUUGCUAGAGUGCUGGAGAGGUAAGUGGAAUUCCUAGUGUAGCGGUGAAAUGCGUAGAUAUUAGGAGGAACACCAGUGGCGAAGGCGGCUUACUGGACAGUAACUGACGUUGAGGCUCGAAAGCGUGGGGAGCAAACAGG